rnacentral:lncRNA from 1 species
UUACAUUUUUAUCCGCGCCGCUUGACACAAAAAAGGACCCCAACCUGAUCUUCUUCUUCAUGAAAAAAGCCAACAAGAAAAAACCCAGAGCUCUAAGGAAGCUUAAGCCGCAGCAGCCAUGAAAAGAAGCUCCACCCUAACUCUACCGCCUCUGUCGUCUCCCUCAUCCCCAGCCUCAGAAAAUCAGUAGCCAUCAGACCUCACUGCCUGAAACCCGCCGGAAAACAACCCCUUCCUUUCCAGUUUCAGUCACACACAAACACAACUGAAAAAACGACCUUAAUCCCAAUCAAAAGCCCAGCGGAAACGCGCUUGAAUCACCUCUGAACUCCAGCCAUUAGAAGCAGCGAAACAAGCUGCAAAUAGCUCUCAAACCGUUCAAGUACGAGCAGCUUUUUGAUCGUGGUUUGAGUCGCUGAAGUUGGGUCCGAUUGCCGUCGAGUUCGAGUUAGACAGAGUUUCCGUUCGUUAGCUUCAGUUCCGGUUCUCUGUUUUGGGGUGGGUUCGAUCUCCUCUACUGGGAUUUUGGGAAUGAAAACGUGGAUCUAGUCCGGAAUAUUGUCGAUCUAGAGAUCACCGAAGCUGUUACGCAAAAGUUUUCUGCAAGGCAAGUCCAAGUUCCAUUUAUUCGACCACUUACACAUUUCCUCUAAAAUUGAUUUGCUUGGAUUUAGUUUACGCAUACCUGUUUAUAUAUGUCAACGCUUGUUUUCUAAUUCUACAUCUGAUUUUAACAUGCUACUGAGCCUGCAUGGCCAGUGAAAUUGAUUAUAGCAUCUUAUUGACAAUUUAUGUAUGAUAUUUAAACUUUUCUUAUUAUUCCAUAUGGUGAUUUACUCAUAGUUACAUUUAGAGGUCUCAUGUAUAUUAUGUCAGAAAUUAUCUGUGUGGAAAUUAAGUGUUUGACAAAUAUGGUUUCGAGAAGCUUAGCUGCCUUAGCAACCUGCGUUUAUAUCAGGCACAAGUAGGAUUUACAUUCCUUUUCUAUUUUCAAAGGCUCAAUCCUAAUAAUUAUCUAUGCUUAAAAAACAAUUAGGAAGCAAGUGAAUUUCUUGCGUACUGAUGCAUAUCUUUUGUUUUGCUUAAUUUGCUUGUAAAGAAAAAUGUUUAAAUUUUUGGUUGGUAAAAUUAUCCAUCAUAACAAGUUGCUUAUUUGAUUGAAAGGAGCAAGUGAGUGAUUUCCAUAUAAAUUAAGGUAUGCGUUCGUCCAACUUCGAACAAACUUCCUUAAUAAUAAAAUUAGUUUUCAUAGGUUACUAAUACUCCGGGGUGAGCCAUCCACGUUUUAAUCAUACAUGGCCCUCAUAUAAAUUUCGUAUAAUUUAGAUAUUAAAAAUGAAUCUCUAGUAGUUUGCUUUAGGAGCAUUAAUUAAAUAAACCGUCAUAGCUACGGUUACGGUUCCCAUGACGUAGUUGUGAUGCUUAAUUUCCAAAUUCGGGGUACAUUUGUGUGACCCGGCCACAAUUUAAUCUUUUUAAAUAAAAUGAGUACGUUGUGGAUCGUGGGUACGGCUCUCGUGACAUGAUUCGCAAUCGUGCAAUCAAUAAUUAGUUGUAUAACAAUUGGAUUAUUAAAAGCGAUUUUAAAAGGAAUAAAAUGCACAUAGGUUUUAAAUAUGUAAUUAAUCAGAUAACUAAGUCAAUUAAUAAUAGUUGAGCAACCGUGCUAAAAUUACGGAACCCGGGAAUGCCUAACACAUUCUCCCGGGUUAACAGAAUUCCUGACCCGGAUCUCUGUGUUUUGCGGACUGUAAAACAGAGUCAAAAUUCCUCGGUUUGGGAUUUUAAACCAUUGACUUGGGACACCAAUAAACUAUCCCAAGUGAUGACUCUGAAUUUUAAAUAAAAUAAUCCCGUUUCGAUUGUCACUUAAAUUGGAAAAAACUCCCUUAUAUACCCUUUCGGUGGUAAAAAAAGAGGUGUGACAGUGGAAACAAGAGGUAAAGCAGUAGUUGAGGCUUGAAUUCUCUUCGUGGCAUCGAGGUAAGUGAUUGGUCUAACCUUAGCUUGAGGGAUUAGGAGUUGUAUCUUAUUUGCUAUGUGUUAAUUGUGGAGUACGACGUAUAAGCAUGGUGACGAGUAUCUAUACGUCGGUGUCAAGCAUACCCGUGAGUCUCGUAUGGUAAUUGUUGUGACUUCAUUAUAAUUUGUUCAUGCUUAAUAUAAUGAUUAUCAUUGUUAGUUCCCUUACCGGGAUGUCAUUGUUAUGAUAUUGUUUCCCUUGCUGUGAUGUUAUUGUUUACGAUAUUGUCUCCCUUGCCGGGAUGUUAUUGUUAUACUCGUGUUCCUUGCCGGGAUUCUUUUAUGAUUGAUGUUGAUUUUUCAAAUGGGAUAGGGUUGCACGCCUACAACAAGAUAUAUGAAAUGGGAUCGGGUGGCACGCCGCCACGGUGAUAUAUGAAAUAGGAUCGGGUUGCACGCCUGCAACAAGAUAUAUGAAAUGGGAUCGGGUGGCACGCUGCCACGGUGAUAUAUGAAACGGGAUCGGAUUGCACGCCUACAACAGGAUAUAUGAAAUGGGAUCAAGUGACAUGCCGCCACGGUGAUACAUAAAAUGGGAUCGGGUUGCACGCCUACAACAAGAUAUAUGAAAUGGGAUCGGGUUGCACGCUGUAACAAGAUAUAUGAAAUGGGAUCGUGUGGCACGCCGCCAUGGUGAUAUAUGAAAUGGGAUCGGGUUGCACGCCUGCAAUGAGGAAGAAAUGAAAGUGAAUAUUGUGUUUGUUUUCCUUAUUCUUGUUGGCAUUUAAAUGUUGGUUUCUUUACAUUCCUCUUUUGGUAUUCUUUUGUUAGCUGAUAUUCCCCGCAACAUGUUUUCCCCUCCCAUCUUUAGCUGUAAUUAUCUGCUUUUAUCUUUCCAUUGUAUAUGAUUUAAUUGCACAUGUUUAUUUGGUAGUCUGGUCCUAGCCUCGUCACUACUUCACCGAUGUUAGGCUAGGUACUUACCAGCACAUGGGGUCGGUUGUGCUGAUACUAAACUCUAAAUUGUGUACAGAUCCCGGUGCUACAACUUUUGGACCGCAGUGAGGUUGCUGUCUUCAGUCCAAUAGGCGACCCGAAGUAGUCAUGUAGGCAUCCACAGGCCUUAGCGUCUCCCUCUAUCUUUCCAUUCUGUUUCUUUUAUGUAUUUUAGAGACAACUUUGUACUUAUCUUUUAAACCUCUGUUUGUAGUAUUCGUAGAUAGUCCGUGACUUUGUGACACCAAAUUUUGGGUAGUGUUAUAUAUCGGAUUCAUAUAACAAUGUUUGGUUAAACUA